rnacentral:lncRNA from 1 species
CUGUGCUUGGGUCUUGGUUUCAGAAAAGCUGCCUGCCUUCGUGCAACGUCACAGCUGUAGUUCGUCUCCAGGACAAGAGACUUAAGACUGGAUGAAUUUGGUGCCAGAGAGAGAAGACUGAAGCAUGAACAGCAUCGACAGUUAUUUCUCGCCCAUGUCACCAGUGGCUUUCACUGCAUCUCUACUCUGUGCCUCUGCCCUGGGCUCGGCACAUUCUCUUCCUUUGGCAAAAACUCCGAAGAAGUCUACCCACCUCACAAGGCUCAGCAGCAAAGCUUCCUCCUCCCGGAAGCUGCAUUUUGUUUUUCUUGGGGCGGGAUGGCUUUGUGUUUGAGCAGCCAAGAAAAUUAGAGCUCGGAAUGGUGGAAAUAUUCCAAUUCAGUGAUGGAGACAAAUCACUUUUCAGAUGUGGACCCUCAGUCUCGGAGAAGGAAGAUUGGACAAGGUCAUAUCCCAAGGUCACAGAUAGAGGAGCAUGGA